UAGAAAGAUAGUUCCAAUAGUACAGACGUGGCAGCAGACAGAAGUUGAAUUUUCUUGAACUUAAAUGGAGUGUUCACUUAAUUUCUCUGAUUCGGUUGUCAGUCUGUGCAUUUAUGGGAGAAGUGGGGGAAGGGAUAUUUGCAUAGGCCUUCAAGAGUGCUGGGAGGUAAAAAGGGGGAACUUCUGGACCUUGUUCCUGACUGUGUAUGUAUCUUUCCCAUCUUAGGAAGCUUUAAAUGACACUGUGAACUGGCGGCAAAGAAGAAUCAGCAGCUGCAGGUAAAAUUUGAAAAUAGCUACAGAAGGGGCGCCUGGGUGGCUCAGUCGUUUAAGCGUCCAACUUCAGCUCAGGUCAUAAUUUCACAGUCCGGGAGUUCGAGCCCCGUGUCAGGCUCUAUGCUGACAGGUCAGAGCCUGGAGCCUGUUUCAGAUUCUGUUACAUCUCUCUCUGUCCCUCCCCUGAUCAUGCAUGUGCUCUCUCUCUCUCUGUCUCAAAAAUAAAUAAACAUUAGGGAAAAAAAGAAAAUAGCUACAGAAGAAAUAAACAAGUACAAGUGAGUUCAGCUACUAAUUACCAGGAACUCAUGAAACCGCUGUUAUUUUUUGGUUUUUAAUCUUUUUGAAAAGUUUAAAGUCAACAUAUGCAUAGAGUAGUAACAGAUAAAAAAGGUAAGUUUUAGAAAGAGUAAAAUAAUUAAGUUUCUAAACAUUUGCAGAUCUGAAGUAGUGACCAGACUAUGUGGAAAUGUUGUCCAUGCUAACAUUCCUCAGGGGUGUUGUCAAUUGUCACAAUCUGUAGGAAAGCAGUGUGUCGUACAAUGAAUCAUACCCAUCAACGUGGUAGUGCCAUUUCAUGGCCCUCGUCUUUGCAACCCUGGGAAACAUGGCAACAAAUGGAACAAACACGGGAACAGCUGCAGCAGGCAGAGCUCACCUUUAGAUACCAGGUAACCUGAGUUCUGCCUGAUAUACUGAACCCUUAGCACCUCACGCGGGUGAGUGUAGUGACCCUUGGAAUCCCUAACCACGGGCUUUUCAUUGUUGGCUUUUUCGCUUGCAGUUCAUGAGAAGAAUGCUCAGGACAACGAGGUAAGUGUUUUCUUGUUUCCUCCUCUUUCUUUGGUGCACAGUGUGGCACCAGCUUCCGACUGAAGGUGGAUGUGCUUUUUCUCCCCCAGAUCAAGACUCAGAUCUGGGACAGGGAGAUGGCAGAGCAGGGCAGGGAGAUCGCUUACUUGAAAUACAGGUGUGGUCAUUUGACUUGCGUUUUUAUGGGUGUUUCCAGGGAUGACGCCUGCACUGUUAGUCGUCUAGUAGAGGACGUGGUGUUGCAACUCUUCUAGAAGUCCAUUAUUUUUCUGUAUCCAAGACUGGACGGGAUGGAACCAAAGAGGCUGCCUGAGGGAUACACGAGGCAGAAACCAAUCACUGCAAGAACCCUCCAAGGAGAGGGCAGUCUGGAUCCUGGGGACCUCCUCCGUUAACUGGACGAUUCUGCAUGCCCUACCCUGGAGACACCCCGCCCCCAUGGGCUAUUAGGCACGUCCACCUCGUGAACCUUAGUGGCCCUGAGGCCACCCGGAAUCCCUCCACCUGCAACACUUGAAUUUCAGCUCAUUUUUCCAGAGGACACACUUACCCUCCAAAGUGUACUGCACUUAAGCUGAGAAGUACCUCCGAACUAAAAUAAAUUAGCUGAACCCAACUAACAUGCUAUUUUGUAUGCAAGAGUCCUGGUCCUUUCCCAGGAUUGCCUUGCAGGCUGUACCCCGCGGACCACCCUUCACCACCAGUCAUGGGCUAUAGGCCACAUCCCCCUCCUCCAUCUACUCUAUUUGUUAAGAGGACCUGAACUGGCUGAGUGGCUGGACAACUCUGUUGAAAUUUGAAGAGGACUGUGCACGGUGACAGACAAUCGUGUUUGUAUAUAUUUUAAGAAGGUGUCCGAUCUACCUGAAUGCUUUCCCUGCCCAUCCUGUCCCCUCCACUUUGUCCUUCCUACUGUCCCCUAAUCUACCUUUCAUUGUUUUGUCUCUGUGUCAGCGUCUGCUUCUAGGGCCAUCUACUCUCGCUCCCCAUUGAGUGCACACAGGGGGGUUCCUGUACACACAGGUAACAAAGUGCCACAAAUGGUGGUGAGGGAGGAUAGAAGCAAGAUCACACUUUGUGCAGGGGAGCCUGAGGGAGUUUUCCGGGGCGAUGGGAACUCCCUAUAUCUAGAUUGAUGGGGUGCAUAUGCUCAAUUAUUUUGGAAAUAUCCCCUGACUCCAUGGUGCCUUGGGAUCAGACAGGUAUCUGUCCUUAGGAAAUGGCUGAGAUCUAAUGGUGGAGAAGGAUGAGGGACCAGCAGUGACUGUCGAGAGGAGUGAGGGUCAGACCCACGCCCAGGGUGCCAGGUCCCCACAGACAGCACCACGUGUAGGAGGGCUCUGAGGAGCAGAGAUUUCUUGAUCAGACCCAUGAACUACAUAAUCCUCCUGUAGUUUCCUCACUGAGCGAUGGCUAGAGCAGAGGCCAGCAGCUGGAGGACACCCUGAUCAUGGCUGGAGUGGAGCAGUGGGCCUGGGGGAUUGAGUCAGGGAAAGGGAC